rnacentral:rRNA from 1 species
GAUGAACGCUGGCGGCGUGCCUAAUACAUGCAAGUCGAGCGAACGGACGAGAAGCUUGCUUCUCUGAUGUUAGCGGCGGACGGGUGAGUAACACGUGGAUAACCUACCUAUAAGACUGGGAUAACUUCGGGAAACCGGAGCUAAUACCGGAUAAUAUUUUGAACCGAAUGGUUCAAAAGUAAAAGACGGUUUUGCUGUCACUUAUAGAUGGAUCCGCGCUGCAUUAGCUAGUUGGUAAGGUAACGGCUUACCGAGGCAACGAUGCGUAGCCGACCUGAGAGGGUGAUCGGCCACACUGGAACUGAGACACGGUCCAGACUCCUACGGGAGGCAGCAGUAGGGAAUCUUCCGCAAUGGGCGAAAGCCUGACGGAGCAACGCCGCGUGAGUGAUGAAGGUCUUCGGAUCGUAAAACUCUGUUAUUAGGGAAGAACAUAUGUGUAAGUAACUGUGCACAUCUUGACGGUACCUAAUCAGAAAGCCACGGCUAACUACGUG